GGAGAGGUGGCCGAGUGGACGAAGGCGGCAGACUCGAAAUCUGUUGUAGGCAACCCCUACCGCGGGUUCGAAUCCCGCCCUCUCCG
rnacentral:tRNA from 1 species